rnacentral:lncRNA from 10 species
GGUGUGUGUGUGCAGCCCUGGGAUGCCACAAGUCACAUUUGUGACAUGUCGGCUCUGGGAAAUGCUGUGGAACCUGUCAGAACAAUCCGUUCCACAUAAAUACAAAAUGCUCUUUCUCACCCAUGUCACCACGAACCUUUAUUCAGGGCUUAAAACCCAGCUAGGCCUAUAUGAACAGCGUAUGUUCGGAGCUUUUCCUACACACACAAACACGCACACACAUACACACACAUCUUUAUCUUUCUGUCAUUCUCUGCAUUAACUACAUUCUUAAAACCUGGAGAACACCGUGUUCUUAGAAAAGUGUCUUCUUACUGAAAUGAAAAAGCGUGGAAGCCGUGUGCGCCCGUGGACGUGGUUUUGUGACUCAUGGCUGCCCUGGGCUGACAAGGACCAGUGUUUGAUCUCUAAAUCACGGGAAGACGAGUGUUGGAUGUCAGGUGGUGGUGUGGUAUCAGAGAAAAUCGGUGGUCUUUUUGUUUUGCACCUGUGUUCUUUUGCUGUCGGCAAGGUGGGCCCAGGUAAAGCCAGCGUAGGUGAGCAAGGGGUCGCUGAUUUUAAUUGAGUAGUUAUUCCAGUAACACCAUCUAUUCUGUUCACAGCCAAAUGGGGUGGCCCCCUCCAAUUUAUCCCUCAGGCAGAUUUCAAGAAAACGCUGUAGUCCAAUAUAAUCGAUGAUUUCAUAUCCGAGAAAAGGUUUUUGUGUUUUUAUUUUGUUCCAGUGUUUGCUUUAGGACUGAUACUACCAUUGCUUUUAAUAAACUCCUUUGAUACAUUUUCUCCCCAGAAGAGACUUUUUUUGUUGUUGUUUUCAAGGUCACACAAAGAAUAUAACUUUGGUUUAUUAAUGGAAACCUUCUAGCUACUGGUUAAUUCAUUACUGCACAGUACAAUUUUAAAAGUCACCAACAAUGUGGUUCUUUGUCUUUAAUUUCUUUGGAUGUGUGGUUGUGUGUGUGCGUAUGUCAGCACCUUUUUACCUUAAAGAGAUACGCGAAUCCCCA